rnacentral:rRNA from 1 species
AACGCUAGCUACAGGCUUAACACAUGCAAGUCGAGGGGUAGCAGGGUAGCAAUACCGCUGACGACCGGCGCACGGGUGAGUAACACGUAUCCAACCUACCAUUCACACGGGGAUAGCCUUUCGAAAGAAAGAUUAAUACCCGAUAGUAUAGCGAUAAGGCAUCUUAUUGUUAUUAAAGAAUUUCGGUGUUUGAUGGGGAUGCGUUCCAUUAGAUUGUUGGUGAGGUAACGGCUCACCAAGUCUUCGAUGGAUAGGGGUUCUGAGAGGAAGGUCCCCCACAUUGGAACUGAGACACGGUCCAAACUCCUACGGGAGGCAGCAGUGAGGAAUAUUGGUCAAUGGACGAGAGUCUGAACCAGCCAAGUAGCGUGAAGGAUGAAGGCCCUAUGGGUCGUAAACUUCUUUUAUAGGGGAAUAAAGUGCGGAACGUGUUCCGCUUUGUAUGUACCCUACGAAUAAGGAUCGGCUAACUCCGUGCCAGCAGCCGCGGUAAUACGGAGGAUUCGAGCGUUAUCCGGAUUUAUUGGGUUUAAAGGGAGCGUAGGUGGAUAUAUAAGUCAGUUGUGAAAGUUUGCGGCUCAACCGUAAAAUUGCAGUUGAUACUGUAUGUCUUGAGUGUACAAGAGGUGGGCGGAAUUCGUGGUGUAGCGGUGAAAUGCUUAGAUAUCACGAAGAACUCCGAUUG